rnacentral:rRNA from 1 species
AGAGUUUGAUCAUGGCUCAGGAUGAACGCUAGCGGCAGGCUUAAUACAUGCAAGUCGUGGGGCAGCACAGGUAGCAAUACUGGGUGGCGACCGGCAAACGGGUGCGGAACACGUACGCAACCUUCCCAAAACUGGUGAAUAGCCCUCCGAAAGGAGGAUUAAUACACCGUAACAUAAUGAAAUGGCAUCAUUUUAUUAUUAUAGCUCCGGCGGUUUUGGAUGGGCGUGCGCCUGAUUAGGUAGUUGGCGGGGUAAUGGCCCACCAAGCCUGCGAUCAGUAACUGGUGUGAGAGCACGACCAGUCACACGGGCACUGAGACACGGGCCCGACUCCUACGGGAGGCAGCAGUAAGGAAUAUUGGUCAAUGGACGCAAGUCUGAACCAGCCAUGCCGCGUGAAGGAUGAAGGUCCUCUGGAUUGUAAACUUCUUUUAUAGGGGACGAAAAAAGGGAAUUCUUUCUCACUUGACGGUACCCUAGGAAUAAGCACCGGCUAACUCCGUGCCAGCAGCCGCGGUAAUACGGAGGGUGCAAGCGUUAUCCGGAUUUACUGGGUUUAAAGGGUGCGUAGGUGGGUCUGUAAGUCAGUGGUGAAAUCUCCGGGCUUAACCCGGAAACUGCCAUUGAUACUAUAGGUCUUGAAUACUCUGGAGGUAAGCGGAAUAUGUCAUGUAGCGGUGAAAUGCUUAGAUAUGACAUAGAACACCAAUUGCGAAGGCAGCUUACUACGGGGUCAUUGACACUGAGGCACGAAAGCGUGGGGAUCAAACAGGAUUAGAUACCCUAGUAGUCC